ensembl:lncRNA
CAAUAUCAACACUUAAUAAUACUUUGUUGUUUUUUUCUUUUCCAUCACUCAAACCAUCAUUAGGAAGCAAAUCCAGGAGCUCCGGUCUAGAAAUGAAAAUGGAAUGCUAGGUCGCCUCUCAAGAAUGUCCCGCAGGUUUACAGGAGUCAUCGGAGGAAUGAGCCUGCUGUUCAUAUGACCACUAAGCCAAACAACUCCGUAAAUGUUGUGUCGGGAAGUGCAGGGUUUUCCAAACCUCGUUUUCCGUCUCCAAAGAGGUAAGAUACCAAAAAAAUAAUA